rnacentral:rRNA from 1 species
UUCGAUGCAACGCGAAAACCUUACCCACCUUGACAUGGCAGGAAGUUUCCAGAGAUGGAUUCGUGCUCGAAAGAGAACCUGCACACAGGUGCUGCAUGGCUGUCGUCAGCUCGUGUCGUGAGAUGUUGGGUUAAGUCCCGCAACGAGCGCAACCCUUGCCAUCAGUUGCUACGAAAGGGCACUCUGAUGGGACUGCCGGUGACAAACCGGAGGAAGGUGGGGAUGACGUCAAGUCCUCAUGGCCCUUAUAGGUGGGGCUACACACGUCAUACAAUGGCCGGUACAAAGGGCAGCAAACCCGCGAGGGGGAGCCAAUCCAUCAAAGCCGGUCGUAGUCCGGAUCGCAGUCUGCAACUCGACUGCGUGAAGUCGGAAUCGCUAGUAAUCGUGGAUCAGCAUGUCACGGUGAAUACGUUCCCGGGUCUU